UACGAAGGGUGCAAGCGUUACUCGGAAUUACUGGGCGUAAAGCGUGCGUAGGUGGUUCGUUAAGUCUGUCGUGAAAGCCCCGGGCUCAACCUGGGAAUGGCGAUGGAUACUGGCGGGCUAGAGUGCGGUAGAGGAGAGUGGAAUUCCCGGUGUAGCAGUGAAAUGCGCAGAUAUCAGGAGGAACACCGGUGGCGAAGGCGGGUCUCUGGGCCGUAACUGACGCUGAGGAGCGAAAGCAUGGGGAGCGAACAGGAAUUAGACUAC
rnacentral:rRNA from 1 species